AUAUUGGAGAGUUUGAUCCUGGCUCAGGACGAACGCUGGCGGCGUGCUUAACACAUGCAAGUCGAACGGGGCGAUUUGAAAGCUUGCUUUUAAUGAGCCUAGUGGCAAACGGGUGAGUAACGCGUAGGCAACCUGCCCUCAGGAUGGGGACAACGGCCCGAAAGGACCGCUAAUACCGAAUGACGUAUCUUUUUCGCAUGGAAGAGAUACCAAAGGCGGAGCAAUCCGUCACCUGAGGAUGGGCCUGCGUCUGAUUAGGUAGUUGGUGAGGUAACGGCCCACCAAGCCUACGAUCAGUAGCCGGCCUGAGAGGGUGAUCGGCCACAUUGGAACUGAGACGCGGGCCAAACUCCUACGUGAGGCAGCAGUGGGGAAUAUUGCACAAUGGGCGCAAGCAUGAUGCAGCAACGCAGCGUGAAGGAUGACGGUCUUCGGAUCGUAAACUUCUGUCCUUGGGGAAGAAGACAUGACGGUACCCAUGGAGGAAGCCCCGGCUAACUACGUGCCAGCAGCCGCGGUAAUACGUAGGGGGCGAGCGUUAUCCGGAAUUAUUGGGCGUAAAGAGUGCGUAGGUGGUUACCUAAGCAGGGGGUGAAAGGCACUGGCCUAACCAAUGUCAGCCCCCUGAACUGGGCUACUUGAGUGCAGGAGAGGGAAGUGGAAUUCCUAGUGUAGCGGUGAAAUGCGUAGAUAUUAGGAGGAACACCGGCGGCGAAGGCGACUUUCUGGACUGUUACUGACACUGAGGCACGAAAGUGUGGGGAGCAAACAGGAUUAGAUACCCUGGUAGUCCACACCGUAAACGAUGAGCACUAGGUGUCGGGUAAGCAAUUACUCGGUGCCGCAGUUAACGCAUUAAGUGCUCCGCCUGGGGAGUACGUACGCAAGUAUGAAACUCAAAGGAAUUGACGGGGACCCGCACAAGCAGCGGAGCAUGUGGUUUAAUUCGAAGCAACGCUAAGAACCUUACCAGGACUUGACAUCCCUCUGACAGCCCUGAUAACGAAGGGCCUUCUUCGGACAGAGGUGACAGGUGGUGCAUGGUUGUCGUCA
rnacentral:rRNA from 1 species